GUCACUUGCGCUUCUUCCCUGCUGAAAGAGGUUUACAACCCGAAGGCCGUCAUCCCUCACGCGGCGUCGCUGCAUCAGGCUUUCGCCCAUUGUGCAAUAUUCCCCACUGCUGCCUCCCGUAGGAGUCUGGGCCGUGUCUCAGUCCCAGUGUGGCCGGUCGCCCUCUCAGGCCGGCUACCCGUCGUCGCCUUGGUGAGCCGCUACCUCACCAACAAGCUGAUAGGCCGCGGGCUCAUCCCGCACCGCCGGAGCUUUACACCCCCCCCCAUGCGAGAGAAAGUGUUAUCCGGUAUUAGACCCCGUUUCCAGGGCUUGUCCCGGAGUGAAGGGCAGAUUGCCCACGUGUUACUCACCCGUUCGCCACUAAUCCCCGCCC
rnacentral:rRNA from 1 species